AACAGUCAAAUCUAUAUUUCCAAAGCACCUGAUGUGCUAAGCGUCAUCAUGCACGCCUAAUGUGCACACCACACUUACUUCUCACAUUCAAUAAGAAAAUGUACUAACUUAGACCACAGAUAUUAAAAAAAGAACACUUAUGAUUAAUUAACAUGCAUUUUCUGAACACAUUAAACUGAAAGGAAAAACAAGAGACAUGUGUAGUCUUGUCACUUGUGUGCAGUGGUCUGCGGUUCAGGAGUUGGUGAUGCAACACUUCAGAGGGCUGAGGGUGUCUCUCUCUGCGCCUGCAGCAAACACACACACUUUCUCUACGCUGGCUCCCGCCUCUCUGUCUGUCUCUCUCCACUCAUGAGGUUUGGACUAUUAACACCAUGCAGCGCAAUCUAGCACUUGUGCAGUGCAGGGCUGAUUGCUCCACAUGACACAUAUGAUCUGUGGGCAGCAGCACAUCCAUGCAGCUAGCACAGGUCAUGUAGAAAGAGCCAUCGACGCGAACAUGGUUUGUAGAAAUGUAGCACUGCAUCAGUGUCUCAGCAAUGGAUGCUCUGCAGUGAAUGGGUGCCGUCAGAAUGAGAGUCCAAACAGCUGAUAAAAACAUCACAAUAAUCCACAAGUAAUCCACAACACUCCAGUCCAGCAGUUAACAUCUGGAAAAGACAAAAGCUGAAACAAAUCCAGCAUUAAGAUGUUUUUUAACUUUAAACUCUCGUUUCCGGCUUAAUGCUGGGCUAAAAUACAAAUCCAGUAUAUUGCUUUCUUAAAAACACGCAGAUAUUCACUUCACAAGACUUCACAGAUAAUUUCAACUGAAAAGGAAAUUUUAACAAAAUGUUACAUUUUGGAACAAAAAGCAGUCUGUUUUUGUGCCAGUCCUUUCCCUCAAGUUAGUUUAUAUUAUAUUAGUGCCAUCUUGUGGUUAGAGCUUACUAUUGGUUUCCAUUUCUUUUCAACUGGUUUUCUGCAGGAUCCAGACUGUACACUGAACAUUUACCCUGAUAGCACACAAACAUCACAGAGACGUUUGAUGAGAGUGUUUUCUAUUUGAAGCGUGUAUUUUGUGUCUGUGUGUGUUUUCUCUUUUGUAGUUAUUCAUAAAAAUAAAAAAAGUAGAACUGUAGAACAUCUAUGUAUUUAGUUAAUUAAUUUAUUUAUUUAAACUCCUAUACACAUGUAUACAGAUGAUUAAUACUCAAAUGAUUUCUAGAAAAUAACCAAUUCACAAUGGUAACUAAAAGACAAUGUUCUUUAACAUUCACUUGUAUAUCUCAAGAACAGAAAACCGCUAAAAAUCUAUUUCCAGCAGGCAGAUUCAUUCCUAACCAUAAUGAAUGUAUGCUUGAUCUUGUCAAAUUCUUAAAUUCAGAUAAAUAUACAUGCAAGUAUGUAUGACAUAUGCACCUUUUUUUUUUGAGAGAGAGAGAGGUGUCAUAAAUGUAUUUAAAAUGUAAAUACAAUUUCAUAAAUGUUAAUCACAAUGCAAUACAAGAUUACU
rnacentral:lncRNA from 1 species